rnacentral:lncRNA from 1 species
GAGGAGGUGUAUCAAAUGAUAUGCCCUUUCAUGUGGUGCCAUAUUUUGACUAAGUCAACAUCACAUGCCAAUCACGUGUCCAUCAUGCCUCAUCUCUUGAUCUUUCAUGAUGAUGAUCCAAGGGCUCCAAUGCAAGGCGCCAUUUACUUGACCCAUUAUGUCUUCAUCCAAUGGUGGGAUUAAGAUCCAAUGGUCAAUUAUGAUAGCCAUUCUCUAACCCAUUCCAAUUGGAACGGUCUAGAUUGAAUGAUUUAUCAAAUCUAAUCCAAUUAGACUCAAACCAAGCCAAUUAGGUGCCAACUCUUGGCUAACCCAUAUUAGAACAUGAUCUAAUCAAAUUAGAUCAAUUAAGAAUCAAAUUCGAAUCCAAUUCGAAUCAGAUUCGAAUCCAAUUCGAAUCAGGAGCUAAGGGUUUGCAAUACCUGCUAGGAUGUUUAUCUUGCAAACAUGAUCUAAUCCAAUUAGACCCUUGAUAAGUUUCCUUGUGUGUGACCCAUUGGGUUCCAUACUUAGCCAGCAAAAAGUGUGAGUGGAGUUGACCCAACUUGAUUAGAACUCUUCUAAUCGAUUUAAGUCCAAACUGUGCGAACCCGAACUUAACAAUUAGAAUCCUUUCUAAUUGGUGAUCGAAUUAAACUCUUUAAUUCGAUCAAACCUAUAAGACAAGAUUGACGUCUAGCAACGUGUCAUGUCUAUCCGAAAAAUAUGGAAUUUGGUAGAAAUACCAAAAAUACCCUUCAGUGGCAAGUUACCGUGCAAUUCAAUCCUUUAAUCA